rnacentral:rRNA from 1 species
UACAGAGGGUGCAAGCGUUAAUCGGAAUUACUGGGCGUAAAGCGUGCGUAGACGGUUAUGUAAGUCAGAUGUGAAAGCCCAGGGCUCAACCUUGGAAUUGCAUUUGAGACUGCAUAGCUAGGGUGCGGAAGAGGGAAGCGGAAUUUCCGGUGUAGCGGUGAAAUGCGUAGAUAUCGGGAGGAACACCAAUGGCGAAGGCAGCUCGCUGGGACGUCACUGACGCUGAGACGCGAAAGCGUGGGGAGCAAACAGG